GACAGAGGGUGCAAACGUUGUUCGGAAUUACUGGGCGUAAAGCGUGUGUAGGUGGCUAAGUAAGUCGGAUGUGAAAGCCCCGGGCUCAACCCGGGAAGUGCACUCGAUACUGCAUAGCUUGAGUACUGGAGAGGUUGGUGGAAUUCUCGGUGUAGAGGUGAAAUUCGUAGAUAUCGAGAGGAACACCUGUGGCGAAGGCGGCCAACUGGACAGAUACUGACACCGAGACACGAAAGCGUGGGGAGCAAACAGG
rnacentral:rRNA from 1 species